ensembl:lncRNA
CUCUGGGCUGCUUCCUGAGAUGAAGUGUUAUAUAGUUAGAGAGCUGCUUUGUCACUCAGCAGUGCACUGUUUGGGAGCAGGAUGGACAUACGUUUCACCAUCUGGAUGGCAGGAGAGAAAGUCCUAGGAAAUGUCAUGGUAGGCUGAUGGUGAUGGGGUGAGCAGCAUACAGCAAGUGGAAGGAGCCCAGGACAACUGACUUUCGGAUGCCCAGCCAUCUUAAAAGCCCUCAGAAUCCCACCAUAAGUGCUUUAAGAUCUGGAUUUUAAAAUUUGCCAUCUUUAUAGCUACAGCAGCAGCAAGAACUCUGGACUGAAAAAUUAUGGAAAAAAAAUGAUCCGCUGAUCUUUUGGUCAGAAACUCUUCAGCAAAUGAAAUGAACAGCAGAAGGGACUUUCCGAUGCAGUAGAAGCCUGUUAAACAGAUAACACUGGUGUAUGGAAGUGUCAUUUUCUUUAAAGCCUUGUAAUAGUAAUACAGAGAAACUGUGGCUUAAGGACAGAGGUGGCCUUUCUUGAACCUCAUACAUUCUUCUGAUCUUUGUUUGUGUACCCUGCUCUCCAGAGGUGUAUUCCAGAUAUUCAUACAAUGCCUCUUUUUAGAUGAACAGUAGCAACAAUCUGUCUUUUCCUGGAUACAUCAGUUCUCCUGUCAGAUUUACUUCUCUGUAUCUUUUAAGAGGUCUUUCUUUCCAAAAGUAUUUAAUGAUUUCAGUAAUUUAAUGAUUUCAUCACUGCUUGGCAUGAUACCAGGGAGGAAAUACCUUUGUUAAACAGUUUCAGUCUUCUAAUCUAUUCAGUUGUGUAUUGUAUUUGACUUUUUGAUCCCCUGAGCGUUUAGAGCUCUAAUAAGUUUAUGUCUUCAUCUUAUAUUUGUUUCUUAGGAAGACACCUGGAUUUUCAGAAGUAUAAUGCAUUAUUUACCUAUUCAUUUUCUUGAUCCUAUGGAAAGCAAAUCUGUUAACAAAGAUAUGUUCUUUAAACCUACUGUAAAUAUGGUUUCUCUUUAAUAAGGAGCAGCAGAGGAGAUAUUUGGAAAAGAACAGUGGUAGGGAUGUCACUGGAGCAUAAUACCAAGGACAGAAAGCACACUGCUACUCUGUUGCUCUUCUGGUUUAGGAGACUUAGCAUGUAACAUAGAUAUGGAAAGAUAUAAAUAGUACUCCUGAUGGUGGCACCUUUGCAGCUCUCUUAGGGAACAGUCACAAAGCAUUUGAAGCAGAGAGGAAGCCUUGCAUUUUCAGCUUCAUAAGGACAUGUACAACAGCUACCAAAAAGAAGAAUGAAACAAGUGACAAGCAUCAGCUG